GAUGAACGCUGGCGGCGUGCCUAAUACAUGCAAGUCGAGCGAACGGACGAGAAGCUUGCUUCUUUGAUGUUAGCGGCGGACGGGUGAGUAACACGUGGAUAACCUACUUAUAAGACUGGGAUAACAUCGGGAAACCGGAGCUACUAACAGAUAAUAUUUUGAACCGCAGGGUUCAAAAGUGAAAGACGGUCUUGCUGACACAUAUAGAUGGAUCCGCGCUGCAUUAGCUAGUUGGUAAGGUAACGGCCUACCAAGGCGACGAUGCGUAGCCGAUCUGAGAGGAUGAUCGGCCACACUGGAACUGAGACACGGUCCAGACUCCUACGGGAGGCAGCAGUGGGGAAUAUUGGACAAUGGGCGAAAGCCUGACGCAGCCAUGCCGCGUGAGUGAAGAAGGCCUUCGGGUCGUAAAGCCCUUUUGUUGGGGAAGAACAGCUGCAGGAUAAUACCUCGCUGUCCUGACGGUACCUAAACAAAAAGCACCGGCUAACUUCGUG
rnacentral:rRNA from 1 species